CUUACAAUUAGAAUCACCUUAUUUAGGCUUUCUUAUAUGUAAAAUAAAAUUAAAGUUAAAGAAGAUAUAUAAAUUGUACCUUUUGUAUCAGGGAAAUUUAAAAUUAUAUUAAAUUAUUAAUCGAGUAAAAUGGAUCUUUAUAUUUAGGAUUUAGUUGUAUUUAAACCUUUUAAAUAAAUAAGAAGUGAAAAAUUUACGACGUUUAUGAUAUCUAAUUGUUUUUUAAUCAAAAGGUUAAGCUUUUGAUUGUCUAAAUUACUAUUUAUACAGAGAAAACUAGGCUUUAGAUUAGCCAGGUUAAUAGAUUGUUUUAAGUAAUCUUUUAAAAAUUUGGGAAAUUAGAAUUAUAAAGGCAAUAUUUAAAUAUUUAGAUAAAUAUAAAUAAUGAAUUUAUUGAAUAAAUAACGAAAAUUGAAAAUAACUCAUGAAGGCUAGAAAGUUUAACAAAAACAUUUCUGUUUGUUUAAAUAAAAGUAAAACCUGCCCGGUGAUGUAAAAGUUAAACGGCUGCGGUAUUUUGACUGUGCUAAGGUAGCAUAAUAAUUUGCUAUUUAAUUGUUAGCUGGUAUGAAAGGUUAAACUAGCUUAUUUAGUUUGUAAGUUUUAUUAGGAGAUUUAGGUUAGGGUAAUAAUUCCUUAAUGUUUUAGGGGACGAUAAGACCCUAAAAGCUUAACAAAUGUUAUUUUAUUAAUUAUAAAAUUAAAUUUGUUUUACUGGGGCGGUAUUAACAAUUAAACUGUUAUUAUAUUGAAAGAUCCUUUAUAUAAAGAAAUAACGGGUAAGUUACUUUAGGGAUAACAGUGUGAUAUAUUUAGAGAGAUCUUAUCGAUAAAUAUGAUUGCUACCUCGAUGUU
rnacentral:rRNA from 1 species